rnacentral:rRNA from 1 species
AGAGUUUGAUCCUGGCUCAGAUUGAACGCUGGCGGCAUGCUUUACACAUGCAAGUCGAACGGUAACAGGCCGCAAGGUGCUGACGAGUGGCGAACGGGUGAGUAAUGCAUCGGAACGUGCCCAGUCGUGGGGGAUAACGCAGCGAAAGCUGCGCUAAUACCGCAUACGAUCUAUGGAUGAAAGCGGGGGACCGUAAGGCCUCGCGCGAUUGGAGUGGCCGAUGUCAGAUUAGGUAGUUGGUGAGGUAAAGGCUCACCAAGCCGACGAUCUGUAGCUGGUCUGAGAGGACGACCAGCCACACUGGAACUGAGACACGGUCCAGACUCCUACGGGAGGCAGCAGUGGGGAAUUUUGGACAAUGGGCGCAAGCCUGAUCCAGCAAUGCCGCGUGCAGGAAGAAGGCCUUCGGGUUGUAAACUGCUUUUGUACGGAACGAAACGGUCCUGGUUAAUACCUGGGGCUAAUGACGGUACCGUAAGAAUAAGCACCGGCUAACUACGUGCCAGCAGCCGCGGUAAUACGUAGGGUGCAAGCGUUAAUCGGAAUUACUGGGCGUAAAGCGUGCGCAGGCGGUUUUGUAAGACAGGCGUGAAAUCCCCGGGCUCAACCUGGGAAUUGCGCUUGUGACUGCAAAGCUGGAGUGCGGCA